rnacentral:tRNA from 1 species
UCCAUUGUAGUUUAGUGGGUUAGGAUACUCGGCUCUCAAUUGAGAGACUUGAGUACAAUUCCCGGCAAUAAAA